rnacentral:rRNA from 1 species
GGGUUAGUAGGUUGGUCAUGCCUCUGGUAUGUACUGGUCUCACUGAUUCCUCCUUCCUGAUGAGCCGUAAUGCCAUUAAUUUGGUGUUAUGGGGAAUCAGGACUGUUACUUUGAAAAAAUUAGAGUGUUUAAAGCAGGCUCACGCUUGAAUACAUUAGCAUGGAAUAACGAAAUAGGACGUUUGAUUUUAUUUUGUUGGUUUCUAGGAUCGACGUA